rnacentral:SRP_RNA from 1 species
GCCAGGCAUGGUGAUGCGUGCCUGUAGUCCCAGCUACUCAGGAGGCUGAGGCAGGAGAAUCUCUUGAGCCCAGGAGGUGGAGUUUGCAGUGAGCCAAGAUCGUGCCACUGCACUCCAGCCUGGGCGACAGAGUGAGACUCUAUCUCAA